AGCAGCUGCCCCUGCAAAUGUCAGCGCCAGCCCAGUCAAAAGAGCUUGAAACCUACCAAGCCGGAGGACUGUGCUGUGCCUCUCUCGCCCACAUUUUCCCCAAGCACUCUCAGGAACCUGGCAACAGUGUCCCCUUGUGGCCAAGCCUGGAACAUCACAUCUGUACAUUGCAAUCUGUGGAUCAGCUACGAGACUGAGAGAAAGGAAUUAAAGGAUGGAAGAAUUACAGGAUCAGGCACUGCUGUCUGUCUGAUCCACGGAUGUAACCACAGCACACGCGUGGCUCACGGUACUAGUGAGAUAAAUGCUUGUUACACGAAGGCAUGAACAGGGAUGAGAAGAGACUUCCUGGAGAAACAAAAGGACUAACAAUCAGGAAGGGGAGGUGAUCGGGGCAGGAGUAAAGUGGACACCUCAGCAAAGCCAUUCGCUGUGAUCUCUGAUUGUGCAGUGUCAUGUCCUGUCACCAGAGGCCCCUCGUGUUUGAUGUUGGCCAAUGCCGCCAACAUGAUCUAGCAGGCCAAAUCCUAAUCUACCAUUCUCUGACACCAGCUGGUCCCCUGGGUCGUCCACCUGAUGUCCCCCAUUCUCCCCACUUGGCCUCCCCCACAGGCUCUCGGCAAAGGACCGUGGGAGGCACCUGUGACACUGCCCUUUUCCUGUGCAGCUGUUUUUCUUCUUCAUUCUUUUCACUCCUCGUUAUUCUUUUUUUUUUCACUCUCAGCCCACACAAAACUAGGAACUUUGUUAUUCUACUUAUUUUUCUGUACUCUGUCUGUUUGCACACAGAUGGAUAUCUGAGAACCAGCGAACUUUCUUUACCUCCUAGUAUCAUUUCAUGAAAAUUAGUAGCACCUGCACAAUGGGGCCUUGGAGACAGGAAUAAAAGGAAAAAUCUGGAAUGGAAUCACAUGACGCAACAGGCUAUGAAGACUCCCUGCCCGGCUGCUAUAUGUCUGGUAAACAGAAUAAAUAGCACUUGAGCAUCCCUGACUCUGAGACUGUGGAGUAGCUGGUUGUUUUUAGAUGGGACCAGGGUAUCGUGCACUUAUUGCCAAUUCUUCUUGCUUCAGUAAGUGGGGUGGCUGUGCAGAGUGAGUGGCCUGUGUAUGAACCAGGGUCCGUCCCAUCUAAUGAGAGUCCGGUCAGGCUGAGUCCUCACCAAGACUUCAGCGUGGAUUCAUCAGUAACCUUGGUUCACCGGCAGGCUCGCUGGACUUUGGAGAAAAGGCUGACCCUCCCCCAAAGCAGCCCAUUGCUGCCACUGCCCUAGGAACAGAGGGCCUGGAGCCAGGGCUUGACCUGGUACAGGAGCUUUUGCACAAGGCCGGCUCAAACCUCCAAACCUGGGAAAACAGGAUGCAUGGUGAAGUGAAGAAGAAAGAAAAUGCAUCCACUGUUCCUUCCUGUUGGUGUCAGCACGAUGAGGAAUAAUUACCUGGAUCUGGAAAGCAGGCGUGUGGGAGGCUGCAGGCCCCCCUGGUCUGUGUAGUUAGGCACUUAAUUUUUCACCCUCCUCCUUUUCUCUGCCCUCCCGAAACCCCCGUUUUCAAAGGAAAAACAGAAAAACGUAUCUGGGUAACCCGUGUAAUACUGUUUACAUCAGUCCACUUGGCCCAGAAAGGAUACCAGCUCCUUACUGAUGCUCAGAUAACAGGGUUAGUGCUUAAACAAAUUAUGCCUUGGGCCGGGUGCAGUGGCUCACGCCUAUAAUCCCAGCACUUUGGGAGACUGAGGUGGGUGGAUCACAAGGUCAAGAGAUCAAGACCAUCCUGGCCAACCAACAUAGUGAACCUGUCUCUACUAAAAAUACAAAAAUUAGCUGGGCGUAGUGGCGCAUGCCUGUAGUCCCAGCUGCUCGGGAGGCUGAGGCAGGAGAGUCGUUUGGGCCUGGCAGGCGGAGGUUGCAGUGAGCUGAGAUUGCGCCACACUGCACUCCAGCCCAGGCGGUGGAGUGAGUCUCCAUCUC
rnacentral:antisense_RNA from 1 species